rnacentral:rRNA from 1 species
AUUGAACGCUGGCGGCAUGCCUUACACAUGCAAGUCGAACGGUAACAGGUCUUCGGAUGCUGACGAGUGGCGAACGGGUGAGUAAUACAUCGGAACGUGCCCGAUCGUGGGGGAUAACGAAGCGAAAGCUUUGCUAAUACCGCAUAAGAUCUACGGAUGAAAGCAGGGGACCGCAAGGCCUUGCGCGAACGGAGCGGCCGAUGGCAGAUUAGGUAGUUGGUGGGAUAAAAGCUUACCAAGCCGACGAUUUGUAGCUGGUCUGAGAGGACGACCAGCCACACUGGGACUGAGACACGGCCCAGACUCCUACGGGAGGCAGCAGUGGGGAAUUUUGGACAAUGGGCGCAAGCCUGAUCCAGCCAUGCCGCGUGCAGGAUGAAGGCCUUCGGGUUGUAAACUGCUUUUGUACGGAACGAAAAGACUCUGGUUGAUACCUGGGGUCCAUGACGGUACCGUAAGAAUAAGCACCGGCUAACUACGUGCCAGCCGCCGCAGUAAAAC